AUGGAAGCGGGGAGCACGAGCCAAGAACGCGAGCGCCCGCGCGCCUCGCCGCCGGCGCUGCCGUGCGCGGUGCGGCUGCAGGUCACCGCGUUCUCGCCCCUCAUCGACGUCAUCAACCGCCGCGACGGCACCGUCAACCGCGGCCUCUACUCCGUCGCCGACCGCGUCCUCCGCGUGCGCGCGAGCCCCCGCCCGGACUCCUCCGGCGUCCGCUCUGCCGACUUCGACGUCGACGCGUCGCGCGGCCUCCUGGCGCGCGUCUUCUCCUUCUCCUCCCCCGCCGCGCCCCGGGCCCCGCUCCCGGUCGUCGUCUACUUCCACGGCAGCGGCUUCGCGAUGUUCUCCGCGCGCCAGUGCUACUUCGACCGCCUGUGCCGCCGCAUCUGCCGCGGCGUCGGCGCGGUCGUCGUCUCCGUCGAGUACCGCCUCGCCCCCGAGCACCCCUACCCGGCCGCCUACGACGACGCCGUGGACACGCUCCGCUUCAUCGACGCCAACGGCGUCCCGGGGUUGGACGAGGGCGUCCGCGUGGACCUCUCCAGCUGCUUCCUCGCCGGCUCCGUGCGCCUCGCCGGCCUCAUCUCCGUGCAGCCCUACUUCGGCGGCGAGGAGCGGACGGAGUCGGAGCUGAGGCUGGACGGCGUGGCGCCGAUCGUGACCCUCCGGCGGGCGGACUUCUGGUGGAGGGCGUUCCUACCGGAGGGCGCCAGCCGCGACCACCCGGCGGCGCACGUGACCGACGAGAACGCCGAGCUGGCCGAGGCGUUCCCGCCGGCGAUGGUGCUGGUCGGCGGGUUCGACCCGCUGCAGGACUGGCAGCGGCGGUACGCCGACGUGCUGCGGCGGAAGGGGAAGACCGUGGAGGUGGUGGAGUUCCCAGACGGCAUCCACGCGUUCUACCUCUUCCCGGACCUCCCCGACACCGCCAGAGCUAUCGAGCGCAUGAGGACGUUCGUGCAAAGCAACCGGACGUCGCCGUCGGCGCCAGAACCUUCUCGCGGGAACGACAUCGAUUGA
rnacentral:rRNA from 1 species